UACGGGGGGGGCAAGCGUUGUUCGGAAUUACUGGGCGUAAAGGGCGCGUAGGCGGCCACCGCAAGUCGACUGUGAAAUCUCCGGGCUUACCCGGAAAGGUCAGCCGAUACUGCGGGGCUAGAGUGCAGAAGGGGCAACUGGAAUUCUCGGUGUAGCGGUGAAAUGCGUAGAUAUCGAGAGGAACACCUGCGGCGAAGGCGGUUGCUGGGCUGACACGUGACGCUGAGGCGCGAAAGCUAGGGGAGCGAACGGG
rnacentral:rRNA from 1 species